rnacentral:rRNA from 1 species
AACGAACGCUGGCGGCAGGCCUAACACAUGCAAGUCGAGCGCGCCCUUCGGGGUGAGCGGCGGACGGGUGAGUAACGCGUGGGAACGUACCCUUUGCUACGGAAUAGCCUCGGGAAACUGAGAGUAAUACCGUAUACGCCCUUUGGGGGAAAGAUUUUUGGGCAAAGGAUCGGCCCGCGUUAGAUUGGGGAGUUGGUGGGGUAAUGGCCCACCAAGCCGACGAUCCAUAGCUGGUUUGAGAGGAUGAUCAGCCACACUGGGACUGCGACACGGCCCAGACUCCGACGGGAGGGAGCAGUGGGGAAUCUUAGACAAUGGGGGCAAACCUGAUCUAGCCAUGCCGCGUAAGUGAUGAAGGCCUUAGGGUUGUAAAGCUCUUUCAGCUGGGAAGAUAAUGACGGUACCAGCAGAAGAAGCCCCGGCUAACUCCGUG